UGGGGGAUAUUGCACAAUGGGGGAAACCCUGAUGCAGCGACGCCGCGUGAGGGAAGAAGGUUUUCGGAUUGUAAACCUCUGUCUUCGGUGACGAAACAAGACGGUAGCCGAGGAGGAAGCCACGGCUAACUACGUGCCAGCAGCCGCGGUAAUACGUAGGGGGGCAAGCGUUAUCCGGAUUUACUGGGUGUAAAGGGAGCGUAGACGGAUGUGCAAGUCUGAAGUGAAAGCCCGGGGCUCAACCCCGGGACUGCUUUGGAAACUGUGUAUCUAGAGUGCCGGAGAGGUAAGCGGAAUUCCCAGUGUAGCGGUGAAAUGCGUAGAUAUUGGGAGGAACACCAGUGGCGAAGGCGGCUUACUGGACGGUAACUGACGUUGAGGCUCGAAAGCGUGGGGAGCAAACAGGAUUAGAUACC
rnacentral:rRNA from 1 species